AUGAACGCUGGCGGCGUGCCUAAUACAUGCAAGUCGAGCGAACAGACGAGGAGCUUGCUCCUCUGACGUUAGCGGCGGACGGGUGAGUAACACGUGGAUAACCUACCUAUAAGACUGGGAUAAUUUCGGGAAACCGGAGCUAAUACCGGAUAAUAUAUUGAACCGCAUGGUUCAAUAGUGAAAGACGGUUUUGCUGUCACUUAUAGAUGGAUCCGCGCCGCAUUAGCUAGUUGGUAAGGUAACGGCUUACCAAGGCAACGAUGCGUAGCCGACCUGAGAGGGUGAUCGGCCACACUGGAACUGAGACACGGUCCAGACUCCUACGGGAGGCAGCAGUAGGGAAUCUUCCGCAAUGGGCGAAAGCCUGACGGAGCAACGCCGCGUGAGUGAUGAAGGUCUUCGGAUCGUAAAACUCUGUUAUUAGGGAAGAACAAAUGUGUAAGUAACUAUGCACGUCUUGACGGUACCUAAUCAGAAAGCCACGGCUAACUACGUG
rnacentral:rRNA from 1 species